AAGCCUUUCGUUUCUGUGGUGUCAUCCAAAGUUCUUUGUUCUCUACAAUCCCUCAAAGAACAAAAUCAUAUUCUAGAUUAUUAAUGAGAAUUUGGCAUGCAAUUAGGGAGGAUGGCUCUGUUCUUCUCCGCUACACUCUUGAUGAUGGAUGAUGUCGAUGGUGAUGAAAUCAAGUUCUCGGAUUGGGAGGUUUUGGAAAUAAUAAAAAGUGUUUAUUUUUCUUUGCAAAGAGAUGGAUAAAGCAAAGAAGUCUCUUAGUAUGAGAGGAUUAGGUCAACGCUCAAAUGCUGGGUACAUGGGUGGUUUUUCCUCCGUUUUACUGGUUGGGUUUUAUGAAAAAGUGGGGGAAUUAGAGUAUACUACAGAUAUUGAAAGGUUACCGCCACUCUUUUGUGUGAAGAAUACCGGAAAGUGGAUGAGGACUAUACUAUGAACAAAUUAUAUAGAAAUCCCGAAGUUUCUAACGGAUAUUGGCCAAGAGAAUACUCCUCUUAUUCAUAGGGUAUCGGCAGAAGAAUCAAGGAAAACUGAAUUAAUUGCCUUAAUUGCGGAGAAGACGUACGAGUUGAAUGAGCUCACUACCGAAUUACGAGAAUUAGAAGAGCGUAGUGCUAGAUGCAUAAAUAAAAACAAGGAGAAAGAGGGUAACGGAAUGUAAAUGCAGAAAAUAAAAGCGAGGAGGACAAGGAAGCUAAUGAAUAUGAGAAUUUGGAAGAAAAUGGGGAAGCCGAUAUUGAUGAUGACUUUGUGAUGAGCCCAAGAGGCACGAAAAUUUUAGAAGAUGCUCGAGAUGUUUCUCAAAAAGAGGAAUGUAGUAAUGAGAGUAAGAGAGAAACUACAUCUAUCAAACGGGCUGUCAGAAAGAGGAAGAAGAAUGAUGGACCCUCUGUUACUUCACCUUAUUUGCGUCUAGAUCAGCCAAAAGCAGGCACAAAGAAGAAACGUGUCAUCCAGAUUUUGGAUAGUCCUGAGGGGACUACUAAAAAAAGCACAAAAAUGAAGAAGGCUUCAUACCUACAUCUCUUGACUAUCCAGGUAAAGCACUAGUCUAUGAUUAUGAGGACAAAUUAAUAGUGAACUUUCUACAAUCGAAAAUGUCCAGUGAUACGUUCAUUUGGAAGUGUGCCGAAGCAAGCAUAUCUCGCUUAGAUGCUUAUAAACUAUUAGCAUGAGGUGAACUCUGUGACGAUGUGAUCGAUGCUUUUGUUAUUUGGCUUUGUCAUAAGAUUGAAGCAACUAAAAGUUAUGAUUGAAAGAUACAUGUCACAAUACCUUGGCUUACACAAGCAUUUCUGGAAGGAAAUCUUAAAAUGGUGGCAAAACGAAUGAAGGAAAAUGUUUCUCAGCAGAAGUUUUUGGAGUGUGAAAGAAUUCUGAUCCCGAUUGUUAGCUCCGGACAUUGGCACAUGGUAGAGUUAGUCAGAGAGGAGGAAAAAAUUCUAUCACUACUCCUCAAUCAACCCCUCUGUUUAUACUACCGAUGCUGCGAAAUUUAGAAAUAAGUUUAUGAGUUUCAUAGAGAGUAAUUGGACAUUGGGGAAAUUGGAGUAUCAUGUUCUGUGUUAGUUGUCGUGCCACAACAAGAACUAUAAGUGUUUCAUGCAUUUCUAAUGUAAUUCUUCAUUUUUUUUCUCAAAGUCAUUUUUAAUAUCGUACUUUUUUUUUCCCUAAAUGCAGAACCUUAGAUUGUGGGAUCUUUAUGAUUGAAUUCAUUAACAGCAUUGUCGAAAAGCGAUCAAUAACAAUUUCAGAAGGAGAUUGUGCAAACUACAGAGCAAAGUUUUGUGCAGCUCUCUUGUAUGCACGAGAUUCACCAUUUUUGUAAAUAUUAUUUUAAUUUUCUCCUUGGUGGUGGUUGUGUAUGCAAUAUGUGGAUGAUAUUAUGUGGAUGAUAUUUUGUGGAUAAGUGGAAGUAACAUGAUGUUCAUUGUAAAUGUUGUUUAUUUGGUACACUCAUUUGAUAUUAUGUGGCUGAUGUUUUGUAACUUAUUGUUCUAGAGAAAUAUUUGUACCAACUUAUUCUAGUUUUGUAACUCAUUAUUGUUU